CUUAUCAAGAGUGACGGAGGGAACAGGCCCUGUGAUGUCCGGCAACCUGCGGUGAUGAGCCGUGCUGGUGCCAAUUCCUGCGGGUUAAACCGAAAGAUGAGG
rnacentral:ncRNA from 1 species